AGAGUUUGAUCCUGGCUCAGAAUCAACGCUGGCGGCGCGCUUAACACAUGCAAGUCGCACGAGAAAGGGAGCAAUCCUGAGUAAAGUGGCGUACGGGUGAGUAACACGUGGAUCAUCUACCUUUUAGUGGGGAAUACCCCUGGGAAACCGGGGAUAAUACCGCAUAAGCUCGAGAGAGGAAAGCAGCAAUGCGCUGAAAGAGGAGUCCGCGGCUGAUUAGCUAGUUGGCGGGGUAACGGCCCACCAAGGCGAAGAUCGGUAGCCGGCCUGAGAGGGCACACGGCCACACUGGCACUGAAACACGGGCCAGACUCCUACGUGAGGCAGCAGUGGGGAAUCUUGCACAAUGGAGGAAACUCUGAUGCAGCGACGCCGCGUGAGCGAUGAAGCCCUUCGGGGUGUAAAGCUCUUUCGACGGGAACGAUAAUGACGGUACCCGAAGAAGAAGCUGCGGCUAACUACGUGCCAGCAGCCGCGGUAAUACGUAGGCAGCAAGCGUUGUUCGGAAUUACUGGGCGUAAAGAGUGUGUAGGCGGUGCUCUAAGUCUGUUGUGAAAUCUCCCGGCUUAACUGGGAGGGUGCGGCGGAAACUGGAAUGCUAGAGUGUGGGAGAGGUAAGCGGAAUUCCUGGUGUAGCGGUGAAAUGCGUAGAUAUCAGGAGGAACACCUGUGGUGUAGACAGCUUACUGGACCACGACUGACGCUGAGACACGAAAGCGUGGGUAGCAAACAGGAUUAGAUACCCUGGUAGUCCACGCCCUAAACGAUGCAUACUUGGUGUGAGCGA
rnacentral:rRNA from 1 species